rnacentral:lncRNA from 1 species
GUUAGUCCGCUCUUCCCACGGAAAACAUAUCUUAAUUAAGUACUAUAUUCACUGUUUAUUUUGGAUCAAAUGUUCACUGUUUGUUUUAUUUUGAAAGUUAGGUUAUAUAUUAUGUAAAUCCUUAUUUAUGUGAUUUCUCUUCUUUAUUCAACUUCAGUCUUGUUUUAACUAAGUUUUCUAUUACGAUUGUUGAGAUUGUCUUAAUGGGGCUAUCUUCUGUUUUUAUUUUGAUGGUGUAAACCUUUUGAAUCUGCUUUCAAUGUCAUCUAAUUUUAGUUCAUCUGUUAUGUAUUUUUUUGUCGGGUUAUUUUAUAAUGUGUUCUUGUUUAAAAUGUGCAACUAAAUUUUCAUAUAAAUAUUUGUUUUUUUUUCAAGUUUUUUUUUUAAAAAAAAAUCAUGACAUAACCUUUAAAACAAAUGUAUAUUUAUAUAUUUAGCAAAGGAACAACGAAAACAGAUGUUUUUUAGAACAAAACCAGUAACUAUGUGUCCAU